UCGAACUAGUCUAUUUUCUGUUCAGACACAAAGUUUUCUGAUGGUGAUAUUAUGUCAGUGUGUGUUUGUGUGGGGGUCGUGUGCUGUAAUCUUUGAAAGUUUAUGACCGAACCUUUAUUGGGGAGCGACAAGAGAUCUCCGGCAUCAGUUUGGAUGGAGCAGAGCUGUUAUACUCAAGUCUAUUGCGAAAUUGUCUAAGCUGGUAUUUACUAUUCCUGGUAAAUCGCGGAGAAGAGUGGAAUGAACAAAAAAAGUCAGACCGUGACUAGAAUCACCAGCAGCGUAACAAGGAAAUCUUGGAGCAAAGAGACGCCGAGUGGCUCGUGUUGUCCGGUUUGGAUAUCAGCGGCAAAGCGAACGUUGCGUGUACUAUUGCAAAAUAUAUAGCGGAUCUCCACGGUUAGGAUACAGAACACAACGCUUUGGACGUAUCUUUAAAAAAGAGAAAAAUCAGAGACUUUUUGGAUUUGUCUGGGACAUUUUAAACAUUUUGUGGCAAAUUGGAUUUAAAACAUUUCGGAUACUGGAUACCUAGUUUGAUUUGUCCACAGAGCUUGUUUAAGACGUUUUCACCUCAUUUUAGGGUUUAUUUUUAAUUAAAGGCUUCUUAAAACAUGUAUGAAAAUGUGUAUAUUAUACAAUGAGUCUUAUAUUGUCUGCUCUGACAAAAAUAAAUUAUUAUUUUAGAUCUUA